GGGCUACACACGUGCUACAAUGGCCGGUACAGACGGACGCAAAGCCGCGAGGUGGGAGCAAAUCCUAAAAAGCCGGUCUCAGUUCGGAUUGCAGGCUGCAAUUCGCCUGCAUGAAGUCGGAAUCGCUAGUAAUCGCAGGUCAGCAUACUCGCGGUCCGAAUACGUUCCGGGCCUU
rnacentral:rRNA from 1 species